CUUCGCGUCCGUGUCGCGGCCCUGCGGUCGGCGGCCUCCUGGUGGAGUGGAGCAAGGCUGAGAUCUGUAUCUGUGGACCUGAAUGUUGAUCCCUCGCUUCAGAUUGACAUACCUGAUGCGCUCAGUGAGAGAGAUAAAGUCAAAUUUACAGUGCACACAAAGACCACACUGCCCACGUUUCAGAGCCCAGAGUUUUCUGUUACAAGGCAACAUGAAGACUUUGUGUGGCUACAUGACACUCUUAUUGAAACAACAGACUAUGCUGGGCUUAUUGAGUGGAGUGGUUGUCUCCUGUGGACCAGCAAGAGUAGAAUGAGGCUGGGACAAGAGACUCAUGAGUUCCUGCCUCUGCUGCAGAUUCCACCUGCUCCUACGAAGCCCGACUUUGAUGGUCCUCGAGAGAAGAUGCAGAAACUGGGAGAAGGUGAAGGGUCUAUGACCAAAGAAGAAUUUGCCAAGAUGAAACAAGAACUGGAAGCUGAGUAUCUCGCUGUGUUUAAGAAGACUGUGUCCUCCCAUGAAGUCUUUCUUCAGCGGCUUUCUUCUCACCCUGUUCUCAGUAAAGAUCGCAACUUUCAUGUUUUCCUGGAAUAUGAUCAGGAUCUAAGUGUUAGGCGGAAAAAUACUAAAGAGAUGUUUGGUGGCUUCUUCAAAAGUGUGGUGAAAAGUGCUG
rnacentral:sRNA from 1 species